CUCUCGGUAGCCAAGUUGGUUUAAGGCGCAAGACUGUAAUUUAUCACUACGAAAUCUUGAGAUCGGGCGUUCGACUCGCCCCCGGGAGACCA
rnacentral:tRNA from 1 species